rnacentral:rRNA from 1 species
GACGUAGGGCGCGAGCGUUGUCCGGAUUUAUUGGGCGUAAAGAGCUCGUAGGCGGUUUGUCGCGUCGGGAGUGAAAACCCAGGGCUUAACUCUGGGCUUGCUUUCGAUACGGGCAGACUAGAGGUAUGCAGGGGAGAACGGAAUUCCUGGUGUAGCGGUGAAAUGCGCAGAUAUCAGGAGGAACACCAAUAGCGAAGGCAGCUCGCUGGGACGUUACUGACACUGAGGCGCGAAAGCGUGGGGAGCGAACAGG